AUUGAACGCUGGCGGCAUGCCUUACACAUGCAAGUCGAACGGCAGCACGGGUGCUUGCCCCUGGUGGCGAGUGGCGCACGGGUGAGUAAUACAUCUGAACAUGUCCUGUAGUGGGGGAUAGCCCGGCGAAAGCCGGAUUAAUACCGCCUACGAUCCACGGAUGAAAGCGGGGGACCUUCGGGCCUCGCGCUAUAGGGUUGGCCGAUGGCUGAUUCGCUAGUUGGUGGGGUAAAGGCCUACCAAGGCGACGAUCAGUAGCUGGUCUGAGAGGACGAUCAGCCACACUGGGACUGAGACACGGCCCAGACUCCUACGGGAGGCAGCAGUGGGGAAUUUUGGACAAUGGGCGAAAGCCUGAUCCAGCAAUGCCGCGUGUGUGAAGAAGGCCUUCGGGUUGUAAAGCACUUUUGUCCGGAAAGAAAUCCUUGACUCUAAUACAGUCGGGGGAUGACGGUACCGGAAGAAUAAGCACCGGCUAACUACGUG
rnacentral:rRNA from 1 species